GAGUCCUGAUGAGGGCACUUCCAUAAUAAUUAUUUGUAGCUUUCUCAUGCCUUAUAUAAGGACUCAUCAACCGUUUGUUGGAAAGUAGUGAUCUCGUUCCUUAACUU
rfam:Gossypium hirsutum cultivar TM-1 chromosome 6, whole genome shotgun sequence